UACCUGGUUGAUCCUGCCAGUAGUCAUAUGCUUGUCUCAAAGAUUAAGCCAUGCAAGUCUAAGUACGAGCUCUCGUACAGUGAAACUGCGAAUGGCUCAUUAAAUCAGUUAUGGUUCAUUUGAUCGUACAGUUUACUUGGAUAACUGUGGUAAUUCUAGAGCUAAUACAUGCGAGAAGCGCCGACCUCGCGGGAGGCGUGCAUUUAUCAGACCAAAAACCGGCCGCGUCUUCGGGCGCGUUCGCCUUGGUGACUCUGGAUAACUUUGCGGAUCGCACGGUCUAGCACCGGCGACGGAUCAUUCAAGUGUCUGCCCUAUCAACUUUCGUCGGUACGGGAUUUGCCUACCGAGAUUCUUACGGGUGACGGGGAAUC
rnacentral:ncRNA from 1 species